CUUUCUCUUCUUUGAAUAUAUGUAUACUUUUGAGAAAGGGAGGAUGAGAUGGUUGUCCAUCGAGAGGUGGCAGAAACAAAGGCAUCUUCUUUCAGCUUUUUGACAAAAACAACCCAAUUUACUCGAUGGAAUUACAAAUUACGGUUCCCUUGCAGAUGCUUUUCAAUUUCGUACACUCUGGGGCAUCAAACUCUUUAACCUUGGCAGGGUAACAUUAGCACUACCGUUCGAACCUAGGCUGCCUUCAUCAUUGUCUCCUAUUACCUCAUCCAUUUCUACACAUGAUUUGACUGCCAACUCUCGGCGGUUAUGGAGGUUAUUUAGCAAACUCCGAGGAAAAUUUUCUUCAUUUUCCCACAAUCCAGAAUCUCCAACUUUUGAAGCUGGGUAAAUUCAUCACAUGGAAGAUGUGCCGCUGUUACUCCUCCGCUGCUCUAUAGGAGACGAAGGAGGAAGAUGAUUUGAAGCUGGAAUUAUGAUGAAGGGGCAGAUCAAGAUUCAUUCAUGGUUUCAGAGCAGCAGCAUCAGUUACUGCAAGGUUCUUGUUCAUUCUCAUGCCAGUCCAGACAUAUGUUAACUUGCACUUAAAUCUAGAACUAAUUCAAACAUGAUAUUUGAACUUAUUCUUUGUCUUGCCUAGUACUACUAUGUUUGAUAAUGUAAACUUUAUGUUACUGUUUGUUCCAUAAAUCUCCUGCAAGCAUCGAAUGUUGGUAAUGUCAUGAUUAUUAGUGUUAACAGAUGUGCUUAAUAAUGGAUAUUA